GACGAACGCUGGCGGCGUGCCUAAUACAUGCAAGUAGAACGCUGAAGAGAGGAGCUUGCUCUUCUUGGAUGAGUUGCGAACGGGUGAGUAACGCGUAGGUAACCUGCCUUGUAGCGGGGGAUAACUAUUGGAAACGAUAGCUAAUACCGCAUAACAAUGGAUGACACAUGUCAUUUAUUUGAAAGGGGCAAUUGCUCCACUACAAGAUGGACCUGCGUUGUAUUAGCUAGUAGGUUAGGUAAUGGCCUACCUAGGGGAAGAUACAUAGCCCACCGGAGAGGGUUGUCCGGCCAACUGGGACUUGGACCCGGGCCAAACUCCUACGGGAGGGAGCAGUAGGGAAUCUUCGCGAAUGGGGGCAACCCUGACCGGGCAACGCCGCGGUAGUGAAUAAGGGUUUCGGAUCGUAAAGCUCUGUUGUAAGUCAAGAACGAGUGUUGGAAUGGAAAGUUCACACUGUGACGGUAGCUUACCAGAAAGGGACGGCUAACUACGUG
rnacentral:rRNA from 1 species